GACCGCGUAGCUCAGUUGGCAGAGCAUUGGGCUAGUAUUCCAAAGGUCGUAGGUUCGAUUCCCAGCGUGGCCG